rnacentral:lncRNA from 1 species
UGUUAUCCAUACCUGAAUACAUCACCAAACAAUCCUGUCCAUCAAUCAUAAAGACAUAGAAUCAAAGCAGCCUUCGCUACAACUAACGUAGCUAAACUCAUCAAUGGUCACUUAUAUCAGUAUAAUCGAACGAAAUAGAUCAAGCAUUGAUAUACAUAAUGGAAAUUACACGCUAUGUGAUCUAAGCAUGCUUAUUUUCA